rnacentral:rRNA from 1 species
CACCGCGGUKAUACGAGUAAYUCAUAUUAACACACCCCGGCGUAAAGAGUGAUUAAAGAAUGAUCUCUAACAACUAAAGUUUAGACCUCAUAAAGCUGUUAUAUGCAUCUAUGAAUGGGACAAACAAUAACGAAAGUGACUUUAUAUAAUAAGAAACCCUUGAUAUCACGACAGUUAGGACCUAAACUAGGAUUAGAUACCCUAUUAUACCUAACCAUAAACUUAGACAAUAUUUUACCCUAUUGUUCGCCAGAGUACUACAAGCGCUAGCUUAAAACCCAAAGGACUUGGCGGUAUCCCACACCCACCUAGAGGAGCCUGUUCUAUAACCGAUAAUCCCCGUUCAACCUCACCACUUCUUGCCAUUACCGUCUAUAUACCGCCGUCGUCAGCCCACCCUGUGAAGGACUAAAAGUAAGCAAAAAGAAUAAACCUUCAAAACGUCAGGUCGAGGUGUAACAAAUGAAGUGGAAAGAAAUGGGCUACAUUUUUUCCCAAAAACAUACGAACGAUAUACUGAAAAAAAUAUCUAAAGGUGGAUUUAACAGUAAGAGAAGAUUAGAAUACUUCCCUGAAACCGGCUCUGGGAUAAGCACACACCGCCCGUCACUCUCCUCAAAACUUAACCCAUUCUUAUAUAAAUAUAUUUUUCCAAUAAGAGGAGGCAAGUCGUAA